GACGAACGCUGGCGGCGUGCUUAACACAUGCGAGUCGAACGGAAAGGCCCCUUUGGGGGUACUCGAGUGGCGCACGGGUGAGUAACACGUGAGUAACCUGCCCUUGACUUCGGGAUAACUUCAGGAAACUGGGGCUAAUACCGGAUAGGAAUCCUUGCUGCAUGGUGGGGGUUGGAAAGCUUCGGCGGUUUUGGAUGGACUCGCGGCUUAUCAGCUUGUUGGUGGGGUAGUGGCUUACCAAGGCUUUGACGGGUAGCCGGCCUGAGAGGGCGACCGGCCACAUUGGGACUGAGAUACGGCCCAGACUCCUACGGGAGGCAGCAGUGGGGAAUAUUGCACAAUGGGCGGAAGCCUGAUGCAGCAACGCCGCGUGCGGGAUGACGGCCUUCGGGUUGUAAACCGCUUUCAGCAGGGGCGAAGCUUGUGGUGACGGUACCUGCAGAAGAAGCACCGGCUAACUACGUG
rnacentral:rRNA from 1 species